rnacentral:rRNA from 1 species
AACGAACGCUGGCGGCAUGCCUAACACAUGCAAGUCGAACGAGACCUUCGGGUCUAGUGGCGCACGGGUGCGUAACGCGUGGGAACCUGCCUUUAGGUUCGGAAUAACUCAGAGAAAUUUGAGCUAAUACCGGAUGAUGUCUUCGGACCAAAGAUUUAUCGCCUUUAGAUGGGCCCGCGUUGGAUUAGCUAGUUGGUGGGGUAAAGGCCUACCAAGGCGACGAUCCAUAGCUGGUCUGAGAGGAUGAUCAGCCACACUGGGACUGGGACACGGCCCAGACUCCUACGGGAGGCAGCAGUGGGGAAUAUUGGACAAUGGGCGAAAUCCUGAUCCAGCAAGGCCGCGUGAGUGAUGAAGGCCUUAGGGUUGUAAAGCUCUUUUACCCGAGAUGAUAAUGACAGUAUCGGGAGAAUAAGCUCCGGCUAACUCCGUG